rnacentral:lncRNA from 1 species
AGCAAGUCAAGGGGACCCUCCCCUCCCGCUCCUCCCACACUGCACAGCGGGUUCCAGCCAGGGCAGUGAGGCAAGAACAUGGAACUCAAAUCACCGAGAUUAGCAAAAAAGAUGUAGAAGUACGCCUCACGCCGUAGGUGGAAUCGCCUAAGGAAUCUACAAAGAUAAAAUAAAAUGAAGUAAAACCUGAUAAGAUGAUCGAAGGAGUUUAACAAGAUCAUGGGGCGUAGGAUAUUUCUGCACUGACAGUGAACACCCCAAGAUGAAAUGCAGAAAGCGUCCUGGUCAAAUAGCAUCAGAAAGAAUAAGCUACUUAGGAAUAAUUUCGCAAAGGAAGUGUGAGACUUGUACGCUGCAAACUGCGAAACAUGGCUGGUAAAAAGACCCAAAGAAAACCUGAACAGAUGGAGAGACUUCCCACAUCGAGGCUGAAAGGCUGAACCCUGCGCAGACGGCGGGGCUCCCGCGGUGCUCCGUGUGGCCUUCAUCCCCCUCUGGCCGUGUUCCCUCCCCGGCUCAGAGCCACUCCUCCUAGUUACCACCCUCGGCCCUCCCUCUGCAAGCCCAGGAUGCCCGGGCCACAGGCCGGUGAGCUGGGGAUCCAGCCUCUCCUGGCGUUUUACCCACGUAGGUGACAACUGACGGCACUGGAGCAGAGAGGCUGACUGCCCGAGGAGACCAGGGAGGCUUGGACCCCAGGCUGGAGGGGGCCGGGGACCCAGACCCACUCACUUGAUUUGGAAGGACACAGGGCUGUCAAACCUAUGCAGGGUCAUCACACCCGGCCCUUCGUUUGUCCCUUUUCGGCCAAGCUCAGGACCCUGUAACCCAGGAAGACAAGCUCGUGGUUCUGAGAUGACCCAGGGAAUUGGCCAAUCCCACCCGAAACCCUUGUUCCUUCCUCUGGUCAUUGACGUUCCUCCCAGACGGCUUCGAGAGCCCCGCAGAUCCUUCCACUACUCCCCAGCCUAGAAGAUCCAGGGACAGAAGCCCUCGAGGUUCUGGCUGGGCCCACGUGCUGAGAUGCCUCUGAGAAAGCUGUCUUUCCAUGGUGGAUCCCGCUGGAUGCCCGUGAACACGGGGCCAGCUUGCAGAGAGCUGGAAGGAGGCCUCCUGGCGGCACCCAGGCCUGACACAGAUUUCAUUUCUGAUUGCGGAAUUUUACUCUCAAACCAAAAGAUGCUACAUGCCGCUCCUGACGCCGUGGCACGGAAUCACGCUGCGCGUCCCUUGUUUCCGGAUUUCUCUUCUGUGGCUUAUUGAUGGCACUCAAGCACCGCACAGCAAUGACGUCUGUCCUGGCAGGGCACACGCACUCUGCGUCUGAAUGAGUAUUGAGCUAAUUCCAAAGCCCAGCAGAGACGUGGGCGCGCGUUUAUCUGGAGGAGACCAGGCGCGCCAUGGUUGGCUCUGGCCGCGGGACCCUGGGCUGAGCACCGACCCAGGCCACCCCAAGUCACCAAAAGAGGGUAGGGAGGGGUGGACAAAAGUAUUUAUUUUGCCUAUUUUCUUGCCAGUGUCCAGAUUCAAAUGUACUGUUUUUAAACUACAUUAGCACUUUCUGCCCUGUGGCCUGCAAUGAUUGUGCUGUGAUUAUUCAACACCAUAAAUAAUAAUGCAGCAUUUCACCA